GAACGAGCGCGGGGGAAGCGGCCGCCGGUGCCUCAACGGUGGGAGCAGCGGCUGCCGGUGCCUCAACUGUGGGAGCAGCGGCCGCUGGUGCAACUACGGCAGGAGCGGUUGCCGCGGGGGCAGGUGCGGUGGCCUUCGGCAGUGCAGGCGCGGGGGCCUUGGGCUUAGGAGGCGCCAUAGCCGGGGCCUGGACAGGCGCCGGUGCUGUCACGGGCGCGGGGGCCUUGGGCUUAGGAGGCGCCAUAGCCGGGGCCUGGACAGGCGCCGGUACUGUCACGGGCGCGGGGGCCUUGGGCGUGGGAGGUGCCGUAGUGGGGGCCUGGACCGGCGCGGGUACUGUGACGGGGGUGGUGGGCGCGGCGGCAGGGGUGGCUGGGGAAGACUUGGGCGCGGCGGAAGCAGGGGUAGUAGUGGCUGGCGCCGCUGCCGCGGCAGGAGUGGGGGGUGCUGCGUCGGCAGCAGGCGGGGCCGGGCUGGCGGUAGGAGUGGU
rnacentral:lncRNA from 1 species